AGGCAGCAGUGAGGAAUAUUGGACAAUGGGCGAGAGCCUGAUCCAGCCAUGCCGCGUGCAGGAAGACUGCCCUAUGGGUUGUAAACUGCUUUUAUACAGGAAGAAUAAGCCUUACGUGUAAGGUGAUGACGGUACUGUAAGAAUAAGGACCGGCUAACUCCGUGCCAGCAGCCGCGGUAAUACGGAGGGUCCGAGCGUUAUCCGGAAUUAUUGGGUUUAAAGGGUCCGUAGGCGGAUGAUUAAGUCAGGGGUGAAAGUUUGCAGCUCAACUGUAAAAUUGCCUUUGAUACUGGUCAUCUUGAGUUGUAUUGAAGUAGGCGGAAUAUGUAGUGUAGCGGUGAAAUGCAUAGAUAUUACAUAGAACACCAAUUGCGAAGGCAGCUUACUAAGUACUAACUGACGCUGAUGGACGAAAGCGUGGGUAGCGAACAGGAUUAGAUACCCUGGUAGUCCACGCCGUAAACGAUGGAUACUAGCUGUUCGGGACCUUGAGUUCUGAGCGGCUAAGCGAAAGUGAUAAGUAUCCCACCUGGGGAGUACGUCGCAAGAAUGAAACUCAAAUGAA
rnacentral:rRNA from 1 species